CUAGUACCCGAGUUCCUUACUUCCUCUGUAAUUACGCCAAUCUAAACCGACUCUGGGUUUAGGGUUUUGGUGUCUUAACUCUCUCCACUACUUUCCCUCCAUUUCCUCUCUGUCUUUCUUAUUAUCUGUCUCUCAAUCCUCUUGAGGUGAGUUCCAUUGAAAUUCCCCUUUUUUUGGCCCUAAUCUCCAUCACCAAAUUUAACACCUUUAGCUUAUUGCAAUUUCAAAAGUUAAUUGCUUUAAGCAGGAAAAAAAGGGAGAAAUAAAAUUGUUGGGUUUCUACUCUUUUAUGCGGGUAUUAAAUGGGAAGAGGAUUAGCAACGUUUCUGUUUAGAAUCUAUACUUCUAAGAAAAAUGUUUCUAGAGUUAAGUUUAUGUCAUCCAAUCGAUAUAUUCAUUCUUUUAGACAAUUUGAAAACUGGGUUUCGGAUACAGACCCUCCGUCUUUCCAUGUGCCUCGAAGAGAGUUUUCGACUAGCUUGGUUGGUUUAGUUGGUAAAUUUAGAAACUAUGGGGAUGCUAAUGUGAGACCUUUUUCCUCUGUUGUUAAAAAUGGGGGUGAUGAUGGUGGGGAGGAUAAUGGAAUGCAUGAUUCAGAAAUGGAAAAAAAUGAGCACGGUAAGCAUAUUUUUGAUUUUGUGAAACUUGUCGAUUUUGAUGGUGAAAAUGAGAAUAAGGUUGAGGAUGAUGUUGAUGAUUUGAAUGAGAAUGGUAUAUAUGGUUCAAAAGAUGUUGAGUUGGAACAUGGAAAUGAUAAAGAGAAUAAGCGUAUUGUGGAUUUUAUGAGAGUUAAUGAUUUUGAUGGUGUCCAUGAGAAUUCAGAUGAGGAUGGUAUUGACGGUUCUAAGGAGGAUGGCAUUGACGGUUCUAAGGAGGAUGGAAUUGAUAGAACUGUGAAUCGUAAGCAAGUCGGCUUUCGAAAUCCGGUGGAAUUGUAUCAGGAACUUCGUAAUAAUGAAAAGCCUGCGAAGCUGUGCCGAGAAGAUUGGGAGAUCUUACAGCAAGUUUUCAGCUAUUUCUGUAGAUCAGGGUGGGCAGCCAAUCAGUCACUUGCUAUUUACAUUGGCAGGUCAUUUUUCCCUACUGCUGCUCAUAAGUUCCGUAGCUUUUUCUUUAAGAAUUGUUCUGCUGAUGUUACUGAAUAUUUGGUAUCACUUGGUCCAUCUAAUGCUGCUGUUAAGUUUCUUUUCCCUAUAUUUGUGGAGUUCUGUAUUGAAGAGUUUCCUGAUGAGAUCAAGCAGUUUCGAAGUAUGAUUCAAUCAGCAGAUCUUACAGCGCCGCAUACAUGGUUUCCCUUUGCACGGGCAAUGAAGCGUAAGAUCAUUUAUCACUGUGGCCCAACAAAUAGUGGCAAGACUUACAAUGCUUUGCAGCGGUUUAUGGAAGCAAAAAAGGGUAUUUAUUGCAGCCCGCUUAGGCUUUUGGCUAUGGAAGUUUUUGACAAAGUGAAUGCACAAGGAAUUUACUGUAGUCUCCACACAGGGCAAGAGAAGAAAUAUGUCCCGUUUUCGAAUCAUGUCGCCUGUACUGUGGAAAUGGUGUCAACUGAGGAAUUAUAUGAUGUAGCUGUUAUUGAUGAAAUCCAGAUGAUGUCAGACCCGUAUAGAGGUCAUGCAUGGACGCGCGCAUUGCUCGGAUUGAAAGCUGAUGAGAUACAUUUGUGUGGGGAUCCAACAGUUCUCAAUAUUGUUAGAAAAAUCUGUUCAGAUACCGGAGACGAGUUGCAUGAACAUCAUUAUGACAGGUUCAAACCCUUAGUGGUUGAAGCCAAGACACUGUUGGGAGACCUUCAAAAUGUUCGCUCGGGUGACUGUGUUGUUGCUUUCUCAAGGAGAGAGAUAUUCGAGGUGAAAAUGGCUAUUGAGAAACACACAAGUCACCGCUGCUGUGUUAUUUAUGGUGCGUUGCCGCCAGAGACUCGCAGGCAUCAAGCUAACUUGUUUAAUGAUCAAGAUAAUGAAUUUGAUGUGCUUGUUGCCAGUGAUGCUGUGGGGAUGGGAUUGAAUCUUAACAUUAGGAGAGUUGUCUUUUAUAGUCUUUCAAAGUACAAUGGUGACAAGAUUGUUCCUGUCCCGGCAUCUCAGGUUAAGCAAAUUGCUGGAAGAGCUGGUCGUAGAGGAAGCCGUUACCCAGAUGGACUUACGACAACCUUGCAUUUAAAUGAUCUUGAUUAUCUAAUUGAGUGUUUAAAGCAACCCUUUGAAGAAGUUAAGAAAGUGGGUCUCUUUCCAUUCUUCGAGCAGGUUGAAUUGUUUGCUGGGCAAUUCCCUAAUGUUACUUUCUGCAAGUUGCUUGAAAAAUUUGGUGAAAAUUGCCGUUUGGAUGGAUUGUACUUUUUGUGUCGACAUGAUCAUAUUAAGAAGGUAGCAAAUAUGUUGGAAAAGGUUCAGGGAAUAUCUUUGGAAGACCGGUUCAACUUUUGUUUUGCUCCGGUCAAUAUUAGAGACCCGAAAGCAAUGUACCAUCUCCUUAGGUUUGCUUCGGCUUACAGUCAAAAUGUCCCGGUUAGCAUAGCGAUGGGUAUGCCAAAAGGUUCCGCUAAAAAUGAUUCAGAACUUCUGGAUCUUGAGACAAAACACCAAGUUUUAUCUAUGUAUCUUUGGUUAUCUCACCACUUCAGGGAGGAAACCUUUCCUUAUGUGAAAAAAGCAGAAGAAAUGGCUAUCGAUGUUGCUGACUUGUUGGGUAAGUCUCUUGUCAAUGCAUGUUGGAAACCAGAAUCGAGACAGCGAAAGAAAUCUAAUCCUGAAAAGAAGGAAGAAGGAUACCAGAGACCAAGGUCACUUAUCAAGUUACAUGAUAAGAAGAGGGCAGAUAAAUCUGUGCCAGCAGACAAUUCAUCGAAAGUAGCAGCAUAAUCAUAUUCUAGUGAAUCCUAAAUCUGCUGUAAAAAUGAUCACUUAUGGAUCAAAAGGUGCCAGACUCUUCUUUUUCAUUGCAAUAUGGAGUACUUUGAACUUUGAAGGUGAGAUUUGGACUAAUUUCGCUGAAUAAGGUCAAGUUCCACCAGAGUUGUUUUAGUUUGAUUUUAGCUGUUAAAAGUUUUUGUAGUGAGCUUCCAUAGAGAGAGAAACUGUACGAACCAUCAUAUUUUUAUCAUCAAUCAAAAUAACAUAAUGCUUUAUUUCAGCA